GCAGUAGCCACGGUAAUACAGAGGGUGCGAGCGUUAAUCGGAUUUACUGGGCGUAAAGCGUGCGUAGGCGGCUUUUUAAGUCGGAUGUGAAAUCCCUGAGCUUAACUUAGGAAUUGCAUUCGAUACUGGGAAGCUAGAGUAUGGGAGAGGAUGGUAGAAUUCCAGGUGUAGCGGUGAAAUGCGUAGAGAUCUGGAGGAAUACCGAUGGCGAAGGCAGCCAUCUGGCCUAAUACUGACGCUGAGGUACGAAAGCAUGGGGAGCAAACAGGAUUAGAUACCCGUGUAGUCCCUGUCUCUUAUAC
rnacentral:rRNA from 1 species